UGAGUGUAGUUGAGGACGGCGGGAAUGAGUUGUGUAGCGGUGAAAUGCAUAGAUAUAACUCAGAACACCAAUUGCGAAGGCAGCUGUCUAGACUACAACUGACGCUGAGGCACGAAAGCGUGGGUAGCGAACAGGAUUAGAUACCCUGGUAGUCCACGCUGUAAACGAUGAUCACUCGUUGUUGGCUACUUAGUAGUCAGUGACUAAGGGAAACCGAUAAGUGAUCCACCUGGGGAGUACGUCGGCAACGAUGAAACUCAAAGGAAUUGACGGGGGCCCGCACAAGCGGAGGAACAUGUGGUUUAAUUCGAUGAUACGCGAGGAACCUUACCUGGGCUUAAAUGCUGGCUGCAUUCACGCGAAAGCGUGAUUUCCUACGGGACCGCCAGCAAGGUGCUGCAUGGUUGUCGUCAGCUCGUGCCGUGAGGUGUCGGGUUAAGUCCCAUAACGAGCGCAACCCCUAUCGUUAGUUGCCAGCAUGUAAUGGUGGGGACUCUAACGAGACUGCCGGUGUAAACCGGAGGAAGGUGGGGAUGACGUCAAAUCAGCACGGCCCUUACGUCCAGGGCUACACACGUGUUACAAUGGCCGGUACAAAGAGCAGCCACCUGGCGACAGGGUGCUAAUCUCUAAAACCGGUCUCAGUUCGGAUCGAAGUCUGCAAUUCGACUUCGUGAAGAUGGAUUCGCUAGUAAUCGCGCAUCAGCCAUGGCGCGGUGAAUAAGUUCCCGGGCCUUGUACACACCGCCCGUCAAGCCAUGGAAGCCGGGGGUACCUGAAGUCCGUAACC
rnacentral:rRNA from 1 species